rnacentral:rRNA from 1 species
AGAGUUUGAUCAUGGCUCAGGACGAACGCUGGCGGCGUGCUUAACACAUGCAAGUCGAACGGAAAGGCCCUUCGGGGUACUCGAGUGGCGAACGGGUGAGUAACACGUGGGUGAUCUGCCCUGCACUUUGGGAUAAGCCUGGGAAACUGGGUCUAAUACCGAAUAGGACUACGCGAUGCAUGUCGUGUGGUGGAAAGCUUUUGCGGUGUGGGAUGGGCCCGCGGCCUAUCAGCUUGUUGGUGGGGUGAUGGCCUACCAAGGCGACGACGGGUAGCCGGCCUGAGAGGGUGUCCGGCCACACUGGGACUGAGAUACGGCCCAGACUCCUACGGGAGGCAGCAGUGGGGAAUAUUGCACAAUGGGCGCAAGCCUGAUGCAGCGACGCCGCGUGGGGGAUGACGGCCUUCGGGUUGUAAACCCCUUUCAGCACAGACGAAGCGCAAGUGACGGUAUGUGCAGAAGAAGCACCGGCCAACUACGUGCCAGCAGCCGCGGUAAUACGUAGGGUGCGAGCGUUGUCCGGAAUUACUGGGCGUAAAGAGCUCGUAGGUGGUUUGUCGCGUUGUUCGUGAAAACUCACAGCUCAACUGUGGGCGUGCGGGCGAUACGGGCAGACUGGAGUACUGCAGGGGAGACUGGAAUUCCUGGUGUAGCGGUGGAAUGCGCAGAUAUCAGGAGGAACACCGGUGGCGAAGGCGGGUCUCUGGGCAGUAACUGACGCUGAGGAGCGAAAGCGUGGGGAGCGAACAGGAUUAGAUACCCUAGUAGUCC